rnacentral:rRNA from 1 species
UACGGAGGAUGCGAGCGUUAUCCGGAUUUAUUGGGUUUAAAGGGUGCGUAGGCGGGUUAUCAAGUCAGAUGUGAAAUCCUGCGGCUUAACCGCAGAACUGCAUUUGAAACUGUUGAUCUUGAGUACUGGAGAGGCAGACGGAAUUCCUAGUGUAGCGGUGAAAUGCGUAGAUAUUAGGAGGAACACCAGUGGCGAAGGCGGUCUGCUGGACAGCAACUGACGGUGAGGCGCGAAAGCGUGGGGAGCAAACAGG